AUUAGAUAUGUUUUUUGUCUUUUUGUGUUUUCUACAGCCGAUUCGAAAAUCGCACUAGCAAUGCAUUUUUUGAUUCUCGAUUUUUUCGAAGAGAGUGUAUUUUAGUAUAGCAAAUUGUUAUUGUUUUAGGUGGAUUUAGCAAGAAAUAAGCAAGGUUUCAUCCAUUGCAGUGGAAACGAACAUCCAGCAGCCAAAUUCGAAAUCGUUGAAACUUAGAAUAAAGAAGAGGGUGGAUUUAGCAAAAAAUAAGCAAGGUUUCAUCCAUUGCAGUGGAAACGAACAUCCAGCAGAAAAAUUCGAAAUCGUUGAAACUUAGAAUAAAAAAGAGGGUAAGUGAUUUUGUUUUUUUAUAAGCCAUACA
rnacentral:lncRNA from 1 species